GAAAACAAUCUGUCCACAUACAGUAAUCAUAGGAUAUGUCCAAAAAUAUUUUUGGGGAGACAUGUACUUUUUUUAAAAGUUGCGAAUGCAAUUUUGUAAACAAAGAUGAGAAAGAUACGCUUUCGGGUGAGAAGUUCAAGUGGAUGUAAAUUUCACACAAUAACAAUAUUUGAGUUUUAAUUGUUAUGACAAGUUAACAGAUUGUUAUGUAUAAAUACUUUCCUGUAUCAUUAAAUGGUCAUCAAGUGUAUAAGUUACUUCUUAACUACUUCACAAAGACAAUAUAAACACGUAAGUCAGUGCAAAUAUAAUUGCGUCCAUCAUCACUGCACCGGUGUGACGUAAAAUGCAAUUUAUCGCACACUAUCGUACCAAACGGAAGUUAUUUCAGUUUCCUGUUUACAGAAACAGACAAAAAGGAUGUGUUUGUUUGAUUUUGUUAGUGUGCAGCUGGCUCCAACUGCACUGUUUAACGCACUUAAUUCAUCGCACACAUUAAAGAAUUACUGUGACUAAAGUCAUUUCCAACUUUAAGCAUUAUGAAUUCGGUCACAUAUGGCGAUGUUUCAACUGUAUCGGUGAAGGAAGACCUACUCAGAGCUGGGAAUAUGUGAUGGAUUUUAGGCUGCUAAUUUUAUCUGUAACCAGGACAUCAGAAAUCUUUAUUCCCAACUUAAAGCCAGGAAAUAUAUUUGGAAAACCAAUACCAAACAAUUGCUUCCUAGGACAUCCUAAAAACGCUGAAACAAACGUCAUAACAUCAUCUGGUGGAUUUAAGUGGCCAACUACACAGAAAGGUUUUGACUGCAUCUGAAAAAAUGGCAACUCUUAAAAUUACGAAGAAGCAGAAACUAAACGUCAAAAAAGCUGUUGAACAUAACUUGGCUGAAAUAAAGAAAUCUCAAGAAACCUCAAAACAGACCAAAGUUGAACUUAGUGCUGAUAAAAACCUCUUUUUAUCUAUGUCUACAUUUAACCAUCAACAUUAUAUACAUAUUCGUAAAUGAGAGGACGGGAAACCAACAAAAGAAGGAAUAUCCUUAACAGAACAGAUGUGGUGGGAAAUACAGAAAUGCAUUUCUGAAUUAGAUAACAAGAUCCAGCAAUUACAGCAAGGAAAUUAAGAUGUGGACUAUAAAUUACAUCUUGGGAAAAACUGGUAUAUCUGUGUUCAAAGCGGAUAUCCAUUCGUAAAUAUUAGACGGUACUGGAACCCCCCAGGUACUAUAAACAUCCAUCCUACGAAACAGGGACAAAUUUUGUCUUUUGAAAUGUAUAACAAAAUGAAAGACUCAUUUACCGAUAUUAACAAAUGUAUACCCAAUUUUGACCAGUUUCAACCUUGCUAUAUGCAGAGUGAUCAUGCCAAUUUACUUGGCGCUUUAUCUUGUUCAGUGUGUAACCCAACAGGGUAUAAAGAUCACGACAGUUUAUUAGCAUGAUUUGUUUGUGUCUGCUUUUCAUUACUGUUCAGACUUAUUAGCGAGCAAUUUCUUUUCAAAUAAAAUGUAUCAGAAAUGAGAUUGUUUUAUUGUAUAUAAAUGAAAUGUUUACCCAUAUUUUGUUCAUUUAUCAGUAUGAAUGAUACCAGUCAAUAUUUAGAAAGUAUAUAGUAUGAUAUUAAAAAUCCAGUUUCUUAUUCUGGACCUUUAACAUUAUACCGUUAUGUUAAAAAAGAAGGAAAAUACAUCAUUAGUCUAAGGAAAAUUAAACAGUGGUUAAAUGACCAAGACAGUUAUAGUGUCAGAAAGAGGGUUUUGAGAAAAAUUAAAAGAGGUCGCGUUGUAGUAAACGGUAUCGAUUCUUUAUGGGACAUAGAUCUUGCCUCUUGUGAAUCUAUAACUAAAUAUAAUUCUGGUGUACGUUUUUUGAUGGUGACUGUAGAUGUAUUCUCAAGAUACAUGUGGGUUGCACCCUUAUACGAUAAAACUAAUAAAGAAACUGUUAGAGGCUUUGAUAAAGUUUUGAGUUCUACAAAUAGACGUCCAGUGACCCUAAGAAGCGA